rnacentral:rRNA from 1 species
UAAUGUUUCUAAGGCGAGUGAAAGCCAAGCUUGUUUUGUGGAUCAGUGGCGAACGGGUGACUAACUUGUGAGCAACCUGCCCUGGACUCUGGGAUAAGCUCUGGAAACGGCGUCUAAUACUGGAUAUGAGCUCUCAUCGCAUGGUGGGGGUUGGAAAGAUUUUUCGGUCUGGGAUGGGCUCGCGGCCUGUCAGCUUGUUGGUGAGGUAAUGGCUCACCAAGGCGUCGACGGGUAGCCGGCCUGAAAGGGUGACCGGCCACACUGGGACUGAGACACGGCCCAGACUCCUACGGGAGGCAGCAGUGGGGAAUAUUGCACAAUGGGCGGAAGCCUGAUGCAGCAACGCCGCGUGAGGGAUGACGGCCUUCGGGUUGUAAACCUCUUUUAGCAGGGAAGAAGCGAGAGUGACGGUACCUGCAGAAAAAGCGCCGGCUAACUACGUGCCAGCAGCCGCGGUAAUACGUAGGGCGCAAGCGUUAUCCGGAAUUAUUGGGCGUAAAGAGCUCGUAGGCGGUUUGUCGCGUCUGCUGUGAAAUCCCGAGGCUCAACCUCGGGCCUGCAGUGGGUACGGGCUGACUAGAGUGCGGUAGGGGAGAUUGGAAUUCCUGGUGUAGCGGUGGAAUGCGCAGAUAUCAGGAGGAACACCGAUGGCGAAGGCAUAUCUCUGGGCCGUAACUGACGCUGAGGAGCUAAAGGGUGGGGAGCAAACAGGCUUAGAUACCCUGGUAUUCCACCCCGUAAACGUUGGGAACUAGUUGUGGGGACCAUUCCACGGUUUCCGUGACGCAGCUAACGCAUUAAGUUCCCCGCCUGGGGAGUACGGCCGCAAGGCUAAAACUCAAAGGAAUUGACGGGGACCCGCACAAGCGGCGGAGCAUGCGGAUUAAUUCGAUGCAACGCGAAGAACCUUAGCAAGGCUUGACAUACACCAGAACACCGUAGAAAUACGGGACUCUUUGGACACUGGUGAACAGGUGGUGCAUGGUUGUCGUCAGCUCGUGUCGUGAGAUGUUGGGUUAAGUCCCGCAACGAGCGCAACCCUCGUUCUAUGUUGCCAGCACGUAAUGGUGGGAACUCAUGGGAUACUGCCGGGGUCAACUCGGAGGAAGGUGGGGAUGACGUCAAAUCAUCAUGCCCCUUAUGUCUUGGGCUUCACGCAUGCUACAAUGGCCGGUACAAAGGGCUGCAAUACCGUGAGGUGGAGCGAAUCCCAAAAAGGCGGUCCCAGUUCGGAUUGAGGUCUGCAACUCGACCUCAUGAAGUCGGAGUCGCUAGUAAUCGCAGAUCAGCAACGCUGCGGUGAAUACGUUCCCGGGUCUUGUACACACCGCCCGUCAAGUCAUGAAAGUCGGUAACACCUGAAACACGGGUGGCCCAACCAAUGUGGAGGGAGCAAAACGAAGGUGGGAUCGCUAAUUUAAGGAAACAAAAAUA